UACGAAGGGGGCUAGCGUUGCUCGGAAUCACUGGGCGUAAAGGGUGCGUAGGCGGGUCUUUAAGUCAGGGGUGAAAUCCUGGAGCUCAACUCCAGAACUGCCUUUGAUACUGAGGAUCUUGAGUCCGGGAGAGGUGAGUGGAACUGCGAGUGUAGAGGUGAAAUUCGUAGAUAUUCGCAAGAACACCAGUGGCGAAGGCGGCUCACUGGCCCGGUACUGACGCUGAGGCACGAAAGCGUGGGGAUCAAACAGG
rnacentral:rRNA from 1 species